rnacentral:misc_RNA from 1 species
CGAGAAGGUAGCGAAAACUGGAGCUGAGGGAAAGUUCUUGAAGAAGCCAAGACUAUCAACAAAUCUUUGUCAGCGCUAGGAAAUUUAAUAAAUGCUUUGAUGUGUGGUCCAUCAAUUAAAGGAAGCUACAUCCCCUAUCGUGAUUCCAAGCUUACUCGGAUUCUACAAGAUGUUCUUGAAGGGAACUCAAGGACUGCAUUACUGUGUUGUUGCUCGCCAAGCCCUUCAAAUGCAGAAGAAACUCUAUCCGCCCUUCGCUUUGGUGCAAGGGCAAAGCAUAUAAAGACAUCACCUUUUGUUAAUCGCAGCCAGGAUAAACUUGCCAAAAAGCAUGCCGAUGUUGCUGCAACCAAAGAUGAAUCAUGUGAGAGAAUUCUAAAUAGGUUGAGGGAGAGACUAGAUGUUGAAGAUGUGGAGUUACUUGAGGAGUUAUUCAUACUGGAGGGGAUAUUAUUUGAUCCUAAUUCAGUUGAAGAUUUGGAAUCAGCCUAUGAAGAUGUUACUCUACAAACAAUUUCCUCAUUGCAGCAGGCUGUAGAAGAGCUUGUGCUUACCAUUGAGAAGGUAGGCAAAAUACGUGAAGAUCCCAUAGGGCCAAUUUCAAUCAAUGACGAUUUCUAGUUGUGAUCGCUAUUCAAAUCAUAAAUGGCUGCCAAUACCAUGUCUUCUAAUUAAGAUGUACAAUUAAGAAAAUAAAUGGAUAAGAUGAAACUAGGACAUAUAAUCUGAUAUAUUUUGCACUUCUGCAAAAUGCCUGCUGACAGUUCUUUUGUUUCCAAAAGAGUUCCUGAUUGACU